GUCCCGCGUGAGGGAUAGAAGCGACAUCCUUUUUUGGGCGGCGGCUUCGCCGCCGCGCCCAAAAAAGAUACAGCGGAUAGCCCGGCCCGAA
rnacentral:sRNA from 1 species